UUGAACGCUGGCGGCAUGCUUUACACAUGCAAGUCGAACGGUAACAGGGAGCUUGCUCCGCUGACGAGUGGCGAACGGGUGAGUAAUGCAUCGGAACGUACCCAGUCGUGGGGGAUAACUACGCGAAAGCGUAGCUAAUACCGCAUACGUCCUGAGGGAGAAAGCGGGGGAUCUUCGGACCUCGCGCGAUUGGAGCGGCCGAUGUCGGAUUAGCUAGUAGGUGAGGUAAAGGCUCACCUAGGCGACGAUCCGUAGCGGGUCUGAGAGGAUGAUCCGCCACACUGGGACUGAGACACGGCCCAGACUCCUACGGGAGGCAGCAGUGGGGAAUUUUGGACAAUGGGCGCAAGCCUGAUCCAGCCAUGCCGCGUGAGUGAAGAAGGCCUUCGGGUUGUAAAGCUCUUUCGGCCGGGAAGAAAUCGUGGUCUCUAACAUAGGCCAUGGAUGACGGUACCGGACUAAGAAGCACCGGCUAACUACGU
rnacentral:rRNA from 1 species